CUACGGGGUGCUGCAGUGAGGAAUAUUGCACAAUGGAGGAAACUCUGAUGCAGCAACGCCGCGUGGAGGAUGACGCAUUUCGGUGUGUAAACUCCUUUUAUAUGUCAAGAAAAUGACGGUAGCAUAUGAAUAAGCUCCGGCUAACUCCGUGCCAGCAGCCGCGGUAAUACGGAGGGAGCAAGCGUUACUCGGAAUCGCUGGGCGUAAAGGACGCGUAGGCGGGAUAGAAAGUCAGGUGUGAAAUCCUAUGGCUCAACCAUAGAACUGCACUUGAAACUUCUAACCUAGAGUAUGGGAGGGGAAGAUGGAAUUAGUGGUGUAGGGGUAAAAUCCGUAGAUACCACUAGGAAUACCAAAAGCGAAGGCGAUCUUCUGGAACAAUACUGACGCUAAGGCGUGAAAGCGUGGGGAGCAAACAGGAUUAGAUACCCUAGUAGUC
rnacentral:rRNA from 1 species